rnacentral:tRNA from 1 species
GCCUUCGUUGUGUAGUGGUCAGUACGCUCGACGCGUAACCGAGAGGUCCGUGGUUCGAUUCCCGGCGAAGGCG